ensembl:lncRNA
CAGAGAGGAGAGCAGACAGAUGGCUGACAUGAUGCUCUACUGGUUUAGAUUCCUACUCUGGCUUUGGUUCGCGUGGCUGGCAGGAUCAUUGGAGCUGAAUGGUACUGUAGGUGGGAACAUCACAACACCCCAUAGUGGGAAAGGCUUUGUAACUCUUAAACACAAUGAAGAAACUGUGAUGUUUGUGCAGAAUAAUGUCAGUGAGUCAUACUCAAAAAAAAACAACAAGUAUCUGUGGUCCAACACCACUGGAUGGUUCACUAUAAAUGAUCUGGAGAAAACUGAUGCAGGGAACCUGAGUAUCACCUUCAGCGAUGGGACUGUAACGUACAAGCUGACUGUCUACGACUCUGUAGCGCCUCCUGCUGUCCAAACACUGAGUGUGAGCUCUGACAGCUGCUAUCUGCUGUGUGCUGUGGACAAAGCUGCAGAGAUCACACUGUGGUGGUACAAAGAUGAGGAGGUGGUGAACCAGAGCAGCUCUGCUGGAUCUCUGCCUCUCACUGUGACCAAGCAGGACCUCAGCUCCUCUUACAGAUGUGUGGCUGGAAACCCUGCAGAAGAAAGGACUCUUCUAGUGGAUCUUCAGACGUUCUGUGGCUAGAACUUCACC